AUACUUACCUGGACGGGGUUGAUGGAUGAUCAAGAAGGCCCAUGGCCUAGGUCGGAGGGGCUCCUGCCUAAACUCAGCCACCCAAGUUGGUUGAGCCUAUGUCAUAAUUUGUGGCAGGAGGGCUAGUGUUCACGCGGCCCCUAC
rnacentral:snRNA from 1 species